AGAUUGAACGCUGGCGGCAUGCCUUACACAUGCAAGUCGAACGGCAGCACGGGAGCAAUCCUGGUGGCGAGUGGCGAACGGGUGAGUAAUAUAUCGGAACGUGCCCAGUCGUGGGGGAUAACGCAGCGAAAGCUGUGCUAAUACCGCAUACGAUCUAUGGAUGAAAGCGGGGGAUCGCAAGACCUCGCGCGAUUGGAGCGGCCGAUAUCAGAUUAGCUAGUUGGUAGGGUAAAGCC
rnacentral:rRNA from 1 species